CUCUUAUCCAGAGAGGCGGAGGGACCGGCCCUGUGAAGCCUCGGCAACCAAAAAGACCUAAUGUUUUUUACGGUGCCAAUUCCGGCAGUAAAUUCUGGAAGAUGAGAG
rnacentral:ncRNA from 2 species